GCGUUCAGGUCUCAGACAUACAUAAAUUUUCUUAUGUGUAGCAAACCUCUGUCAAUUAGCUAGAAAUCGGGAGCGAAGCCAGCAGGCUUCAGGCCAGUAGUUAAGGAGAGUUGUUUUUCCCCCAUCUUUCUGAUUCAAGACCUUUCCCACAAAAAGCAAGAGGAAUAAGUGGGGGACACUACGCUAGGAAUUGAAGACAAAAUGUCUGCUUGAAUGUUGAGUCUGAUUGUAGCGUAGCAAUCACCGGUACAUUUAGAAAAUAAUUUCUAGUCACCAGUACAUUUAGAAAAUAAUUUGUAAUCCCUGUUGUUUCACCAGCAGCCCGUCGCUGUUCUUAUCUCUAGUCCUUCUCCUUUUUCCAUACCCUGUGUGUCCUGCGAGUUGUGUUGCGUGGUGCAGACUAGCAGAGGAUGCUGGAAGGAGGUGUGCUCUGUAACUGAGAUGGGAUGUGCAGGUGUAAAAAGAGGACUAUCAACAGGAGCGCGUGGAAACCCUGCGUGGCAAGUACGGUGUUACUUUCAACAUGUAUUGCAGUCAGCCAGUGUCACUGCCAACACUGAAUGCUUUUUGGGAGGCGUGUUAUUGGGUAGACCGUUCCCUUUGACUUUUUUGCACUCUGAAUUAGUAUCUUGACACAGAGUAAGUUUGUUUCCUCUCAGUAGGGCCCUUUUCUUGGUGCUCAGUGGGGCUGCAACACAGCCAGGGUUGAAGGAGGAUCUCUGGCUGCUUAGGCCAGGGGGACAGGACACCUCGGCUCCAUCCUCCUUUUGGUCGUGAGUUGCUGUGGUCAUUGUGCAGGCGUUUUACAUUAACUGGCUUCAGUUUAGUAGUCUUGAGAGUCAAUGUGAUAAUGGACCGAAAAGUGGUUUUCUUAUUACUUUAACUGUUGUAGUAUUUGAGAUAUUUGGAUACACGUUAUAAUCCAAGUACUUUGAUCAAAAGAUGUCUGAAGUCAGCAAAAAGAUACAUUGAUAGUGGAUGUCGUUCAGUUCCUAAGUGGAGAUAGUAUAGAAAUAGAAAGUGCUUUCAGAAAUAAGAAGUUAUCUAGUGACUGUUUGGUAUUUAAUACGUUCUCUUUCCUGAAGUAGAGCUAUUUAUCUGUUUCAAAGUAUGGUAUUUCUUCAUUCAUUGUCUUUACCGUUUCAGUCAUCGGAAGCCAGUUAGUACCUGCAUGCAAAUGCUAUUACAGUUAUCGGUGAAACUGGUAGCAUAAAUUGCAAUAUAAGGACACCCACCAUUUUUUCUUUAAUCUUAUGGAAGUCCAGUAUGCCAUUUAUUAAUUCUUAGCUGGCAUUGGCUAACCCUUAUGAUGGUACAAAGGUCACAUUGCUUGGAUGGAGCAGGCAGGGACGGAUAACAGUCCCGCGGUGCUUCCUGUUUAUGGAGCUACCUUGAUUGCCUGCAUUUGGUUAUUUUUAUAAAAUACGACAUCAAGUCCUUCGCUAUUUAAAUACGGGCCAAAACACAGCACUGAAUGCACAGCACACACUCGGUGUCAGCGUGGCGGGGGAGAGCUGGCUGAGGCUGCCUGCAAUCGUGGGAAUCACCAACAUGAGUUGAAUUUUGGACUUGACAUUAAUAUUGCAGUAGAACCAUCUAAUUUUUCACUUGUCCAUUAUAAUAUAAAUCAGUUCUUUUGAAAAAAGUAGAUUUUGAGUAACAUGGGUCAAAUUCUCCUUAAUGCAUGUAUAAAAAGUAUAAAAGGUAGUCUUUUGGGGGGCAAAUUAAGUAAAACCUUGGAAAAAAUCUUUAUAUGCUAUGACAAAAUAUUCUUUGAAAUACUUAAACUGAGACUUUGACUUUCAAGACAUAUAUAUAUAUUUAAAAAUUAUAUAUAUAUGUCAGUCAAAUGUGCGUAUUACUUUAACAGCCACUCCUUUUUAAUAGCUUGCCACCUACUAAUUUCUGAGACAUGAAACCCUUCUUAGCAGUGGAAUUUUUUAAGCCAGCUUAUUUGCCAUCAGGGUGGAUUUUUCUUUUUGAGACUUUGGAGUCAGGCUGUUUAGAUCCGUAUCCGUCUCUGCCUGACCAUUGAAGUGGGCAUAAUCAGAGCAUCUCUUCAAGAACUCAAGGACAAGGUCAGCAAAGGCGCUUUGAGACCUCAGGGCAAUACUCUGUAUAUUAUUUGGUUUUGUGGUGUGCAGGGUAUGUCAAAUAGAAGAUUGGUCCAAAAACAUGUUCUGGCUGACAGACAACGGAGUAGUUUGAUGUGGCUUUUUAUUUCAAGUCUAGUAACAGUUAGGUAAUAUAUAGGAUAGAGAGAGACGCAGGAUCUCUGCUCUCCUGGUGAAUGUUCAUAUGUCGUCUUAAAAGACAGUACUGACUUUAUUGAGGCAGGGGAGGGAAAUGGACCAAUGGUCAUUUUGCUGAGAAAUGUGGCCAUAUUAGUGCCCGCUGUGGUCGAUCAAGUCAGGAAGUACAGGAUGGGCUUGUGCUGGUGAUGUUCUUUUUUUUUUUUUUUUCCUCAUUUUUGUUUUUGUUGGGUUUUUUGUUGUUUUUUUGGUGGUGGCUUGCUUGUUUUUAGAUUGAGUGCCAUUUUGAGCCGGUUUAAAGGGAAAAUGGACAAUGUCCACACAUGUUUUCUUGAGCCUGACUUACUGGAACUGAAUAGAUCCCCUGCAAGUCAGAUACGGGCAUUAGAUGUCUCAGUUUUGGUUCAACACAAAAUACCCUUAUUACUAAAAGUGUACUUGUAAAAUAGCUAUAUUGGCGUAGACCCUUUCAAGGAUUAGUCCAGAGCCUGAGGCUGCGUUGGAAACUGGUGUUCAUCACUGAGCAGCGUGCUGCAGCUGGCACGUGUCCCUAACUGGCAGAGAGAGCACAGAAGCUGUGGGUUUAAGGUAAGAAAAAAAGAAACAAAUAGGUGGUUUUCUUGCCUCCCGUGAAGAAAUCUCUUCCUACCACUGUUUGCAAUAGGUCAGUCCCAGUUUAUUCUCCUCCAGAAGACGCUGGGAAGAGGGUUGGUCUCUUCCCUGCUCUCUCCCGCGUCACCAGUGUGUUGCCCGUGAUGGUUCAGAGGAUCUUCUGUGAUCUUGUAGUAAAGCUCUAGGAAGUGCAAAAGUGGGGGUAGGAACUCCUCCAAGGCAACAAUAGGGAAAUCCCACAAACCGGGGGUAGUGUGGACUCCCCUCCCCGCUCUCAGUCAUCCUCUGCUGUACUUAGCCAGGCCUGGGAUGCUGCCAGCUCCCUUGUGUUGUGUUGUGAUAGUAUGAACUGCUGACGCACGGCAGCGUGUUUAGCACGUUCCAGCCUGCCAUGGCAGCCUGUCCCUGGUUCACUGCAGGGUUUUAGCAGGAUGGCGUUUGCUGCUGUGCAUGGUGUGAUAUUUCCAGCGGAGGCUGUCCUGUCGGGCAGUGAGGACAGCUGCCACGAAGGUUUGUAGUGAUACGCUUUCUCACAUUUCUAAGUCCUAGCGGCACAGAAAGAGACAUCGGUAAUAUUGAUGGUUGGUUUUUGUUUCACUGGUUCACAGGCAGAGAAAUACCUGUUUCAUGACAUUCCCUCUCAGCCCAUGCCCUGCCACUGGGUCCUAGCUUCUACCUAAGCUUUCAGCUUCAAAUACACAACUCAUGUCUCAUGUGUCUCCUUCAGAAUGGUGGGCUUUUACUGAUUGACCAGCAGCCCUAAAGCACAAGAACAAAGCAAAUAUUGCACCGUGAAGUCAUUGGCCAUCAGAGAAUUAAGAUGACGUUCUCUUCUCAGAAUGCUUUAUAAGCAGGUAACACUUCAAACCAGUCUGUACUUAAAAGGACGCCCGUGUCUGUUCAGGACUGCGUGAUGACUUUCCAGGGUUACUUGCUUGGGGAGGAACACCUCAGCCCUCAUUGGCAGCAGGCACGCUGUUUUUCCGGUUAUUUCGAUUUUCCCUCUGGAGGGAUGAAGAACAGAGAAGAAACUCUCCCCAGCAGGCCAGGAUUGGACCGAAGCCUGUGGAGAAUGUGGUAUCAACAGUCAGCCAGCUUACUGCCAGGAGAAGACGACGAGUUGGGCACAACCAGGCAAGUCCUUCCUUUUGAUUCAGUUUGUGGUAGCGGAGAGACCAGGCACUCUCGGGCACUCAAGUUAAUGGAACUUCUGCUCCACUCCACCCAAAACCACUCCGACCAAUUCCUUCUUCCUCUGCCACAUGCUUUCAGGGGCAAAAGCCACUUGACUUAUCCUAACACAUAUUUCACACUCAGAUUGACUCGCUCUUUGCAGUCAGUGCUCCCAGCACCUUGAAUCAUAGAAUCAUAGAAUGGUUUGCAUUGGGAGGGACCUUUAAAGGUCAUCUAGUCCAACCCCCCUGCCAUGAGCAGGGCCAUCUUCAACUAGAUCACGUUGCUCAGAGCCCCGUCCAACCUGACCUUGAAUGCUUCCAGGGACGGGGCAUCUGCCACCUCUCUGGGCAACCUGUGCCAGUGUUUCACCACCCUCAGCGCAAAAAAAUGUCCUGCUUAUAGCUAGUCUGAAUCUACCCUCUUCUAGUUUAAAACCAUUACCCCUUGUCCUGUUGCAACAGGCCCUACUAAAAACUCGGUCCCCAUCUUUCUUAUAAGCCCCCUUCAAGUACUGAAAGGCUGCAAUCAGGUCUCCCGGAGCCUUCUCUUCUCCAGGCUGAACAACCGCAGCUCGCUCUGCUUUUCUUCCCAGGAGAAGGUCUCACCAGAGCGGAGUAGAGGGGCAGAAUCCCCUCCCUCGACCUGCUGGCCACGCUGCUUUUGAUGCAGCCCAGGAUACGGGUGGCGUUCUGGGCAGCGAGCGCACGUUGCCGGCUCACGUCCAGCUUUUCGUCCACCAGUACUCCCCGAGUCCUUCUCGGCAGGGCUGCUCUCAAUCCCUUCAUCCCCCAGCCUGUAUUGAUACCGGGGCUUGCCGCGACCCAGGUGCAGGACCUUGCACUUGGCCUUGUUGAACCUCACGAGGUUCACGUGGGCCCGCUUCUCGAGCUUGUCCAGCUCCCUCUGGAUGGCAUCCCGUCCCUCGGGCGUGCUGUCAACCGCACCACUCAGCUUGGUGUCUCCUGCAAACUUGCUGAGGGUGCACUCGAUGCCCCUGUCUAUGUCGUUGAUGAAGAUAUUAAACAGUACUGGUCCCCUGAGGGACACCGCUCGUCACCGAUCUCCGUCCGCGCAUCGAGCCGUUGAGCACUACCCUCUGGAUGCGACCAUCCGACCACUUCCUUAUCCACCGAACAGUCCGUCCAUCAGGUCCAACUGAGAGAGGAGGAUGUUGGGGGGGACUGUGUCAAAGGCCUUACAGAAGUCCAGACAGAUGACAUGGGUAGCUCUUCCCUCGUCCACUGAUGUAGUCACUCCAUCAGCGAAGGCCACUGGGUUGGUCGGGCAGCCUAUACCCACCAGCUGCUCUCUCGAGGCUUCCUUUUGCAUGUCAAAUAAUUUAAGAGACUAUUUUUUCUGUUUUAUUGAUUGACUUUGCUCUUUGAGGACCCUGACAGAAAGGAUUCCCUUCAAUUUCACAUGAAGAAGAAAUGGAAAAGUAAAGGCUUCAUCUUUCCCGUGAAACA